CAUGAAGUCUAAGUAAAUCAAACUUAAGUUUUGUGAGGAAUGCCAGUAUUCAAAGAUGGUUUAUGACUACAGGAAAGCAAACAGCUCGCUUGGCGACUUUAUGUUUCAGGAUUUUUCUGCACUUAAAUAAUUUGCCAGCUUGCAAACAUCCAGAUCUAGUAUUACCUUUGAUAAUGUUAGAAAAAGUGAUACGUUAAGCAUAACCUGCUGCUGUAUGACACAUGCUAAAAAGAUUGACUAGCUCUGUCUUUCUUGUACUUAUGUGUGUUCGGAUCCCUGUAUGAUAUUUAAUAUUUAUAUUUUUUUUGUAUGUGUGUACACUUCAGAAUGACAAAGCCAAAAAUUCAGGCCUUGCCCAAGCUGCCAAGUCCGUCAGCAGGCCAACCGCAAAACAUGCAGUGCUUGUUUUGCCACACUGCCAAGCAAGCGGUUAUUAAAAACUGCAAAAAUUAAUGAUGACUGGGGCCAGAGGGUCGUCAAAAACAAAAAUGCAUCUCGGGUGGUGGCCUCUGCCCAAAUAGCUGUCCAAAAACUUUCUGCCUUGGGCUAUAUGCCCAUAUUAUUUAUCAGCCAGAGGCACAAGGGCACAGGCAAGUUGAUGGCAGAUGUAGUCACGCAUCUGCCACCGACGCAAAACAACACACGUUUCUUAACCAGCAUGAAGAGGGCAUAUGACUUCAUAAUCAAACUGGAUGGUAAGAUAAGUUUUAUGUAUAGUUCAUUAGUGGUUGUCGUUGAUUUCUUUGACAAUGUGUACUGAAUUUAUAUUUUUGCUAACUUCACAACAGAUGUGCCCCAGCCCCAGCAAGACCAGCCCCUCCACCUAGACCAACCCCUACCCCAAGACCAGCCCCUGCCCCUAGACCAGCUAAUCCCACAAGACCAGCCCCCAGACCAGCCCCUGCCCCUAGACCAGCCCCAGCAAGACCAGCCCCUGCCCCUAGACCAGCUAAUCCCACAAGAUCAGCCCCCUAGACCAGCCCCAGCAAGACCAGCCCCUGCCCCUAGACCAGCUAAUCCCACAAGACCAGCCUACCCCAACAGACCAGCAAAUUAUUAAACUUGAACUAUUUACGAUCGACUCACAGGCUCAGCAGCAUGUGGAGCCUCUACCACCCAGGAAAAGACAAACCCCACUAUCCACCCCGGGCCUACCAUCCACCCCAGGCCAAGGCAAAGCGAGCCCCACCAUCCAUCCAACCUCAACUAAAGAAAAAGACAAACCACAGGUAAAGGAGCCACACAAGCCCCACCCUCUACCCUGGCCAAAAAAGAAGAAAACAAAAAGUUGCAAAUGCAGUCGACAGACAAUUUAUCCAUACGAUAAAAUAUUGGAAAGACGGAUGAAUGGGGUAAGAUGUAGAACCAUAUUUUUCAUUAGGCUGUCUGAUUAUCUCUUGACUCAUGUCUGUCUCAUCUUUCAAUCCACAUGUGACAAAAACAGUAACACUGAGCAGUAG
ensembl:lncRNA